AUCGAACGCUGGCGGCAAGCCUAACACAUGCAAGUCGAACGAGUGGCGGACGGGUGAGUAAUGGCUGGGAAACUGCCUGAUGGAGGGGGAUAACUACUGGAAACGGUAGCUAAUACCGUAUACUAUCGGAUGUGCCCAGAUGGGAUUGGCUAGUAGGUGGGGUAAAGGCUCACCUAGGCGACGAUCCCUAGCUGGUCUGAGAGGAUGGCCAGCCACACGGAGACUGAGACACAGUCCAGACUCCUACGUGCGGCAGCGGUGGGGAAUAUUGCGCGAUGGACGCAAGCCUGAUGCAGCAAUGGCGCGUGUAUGAAGAGGGCCUUCGGGUUGUAAAGUACUUUCAGCGGGGAGGCGUUACCCGCAGAAGAAGCACCGGCUAACUCCGUGCCAGCAGCCGCGGUAAUUC
rnacentral:rRNA from 1 species